CGACCACGCGAGUGUGAGCGAAUCUCAAAAAUAACGUCUCAGUUCGGAUUGUAGUCUGCAACUCGACUACAUGAAGCUGGAAUCGCUAGUAAUCGCGGAUCAGAAUGCCGCGGUGAAUACGUUCCCGGGUCUUGUACACACCGCCCGUCACACCAUGGGAGUCAGUAACGCCCGAAGCCGGUGACCCAACCUAACAAGGAGGGAGCCGUCGAAGGCGGGACGGAUGACUGGGGUGAAGUCGUAACAAGGUAGC
rnacentral:rRNA from 1 species